rnacentral:rRNA from 1 species
UACGUAGGGUGCAAGCGUUGUCCGGAAUUAUUGGGCGUAAAGAGCUCGUAGGCGGUUUGUUGCGUCGGCUGUGAAAUCCCGAGGCUCAACCUCGGAUCUGCAGUCGAUACGAGCAAACUAGAGUGUUGCAGGGGAGACUGGAAUUCCUGGUGUAGCGGUGAAAUGCGCAGAUAUCAGGAGGAGCACCGGUGGCGAAGGCGGGUCUCUGGGCAACAACUGACGCUGAGGAGCGAAAGCGUGGGGAGCGAACAGG